GGUGUCUAGACUUCUCCAAGUGAAUUCUGCCCAUAAGAUGUGGCUGAAGCAAGACCUAAAAAGGUAACCUGAAUUACUUGUGUGCAACCCUGACCCUCACAUGGAAAAAACUCCCAAGCACCAGUCUCCAGAGCUGAUGAUUAUAAUCUUAUGGCACCUGGUGGUUUUGUUUUUGUGCUAGAAGUCUACAAACUACAGAAGCUCUGACUGAAGUAGACAAGAAACAAAUUCAAAGUGAAUUUGCUGUAUUAUCUAUCUGGACUCCCUAGGUUUAGCGACACUUCCGGAUUUUCUAUAAACUAACCUGUUUCAGUUUUGCUACAUUGUCUAUUACAAUGUAUUCUUAGAAGAAUACCUUGUAAGUAUUCUUGCAGCUAAUACUAACAAUUUACACUAAUUUCUACUCCAGUUUGUACAAGAAUGAGUAACUUGAGAGGACUAUAAAAUAGAAUUGAUUUUUAAAUAUUCCAGUUCUGUUUAGCAGAGCACCAAGUGUCAUGACCAUCUGUCACUGUUUAAAUGUGCAAAGCAGCAGUCCUAUGUAAGCCCUCAAAGAAGCGUUAGAAUUGAAGCUGAUGCUUUUCAGUUGCUGUGUUUUUAAGCCUUUCUAGUGGAAGGUCAAUGUGAGUAAAUGCUUUCUAGAGAUUAAUUCAGAAUCUGUCACCUUAAGGGAAAAAAAAAAAUCAUGAGCUGCUGUUGAAAGUCAUCAUAAUAAUGUUUAUUCUUACCCUUUCAAGGGAAGCAAAUGGUAAUUAAAAAUCCUGCAACUUUUUUUCUGGUAUUUCUUCUUAUUGAAACUUUCCUUCUUAUCUGCAAGGAAAAAUUUCAUGUAGGAAAACCAAAGUCCACAAAGUUUUGCCUGUUGAUGCCUGGCUGUUCAAAUGAAGAUGAAAAUUCCGCAGUUCACUCUUAGUAGAAAUGAAUUUAAAUAUUUUUGUGGUAGUCUUUUUCACCCCUUCAGUCUUAAUUUUUCCACUUGAAUAUGAUGUUUGCUGUAUUGAGGUUAUAAGGUCUAAUUGGGAAGAAAACAGGGACUAUUCUAGAAGCGCAAUGCAUUCUUUCUAUGUGUGGUGUUUUCUUACAUCUUUUCAAUAAAUGGUUGUAUGCACUCUAGAGAUUUUCAUGUUUGAGUAUUUUUGAAGCAUCUCGAUAACAGCAGGGAUUAAAAAAGCCUUUGAAAUGAACUGUGUAGUGCAGCACAGUAGAUCAUAUUUAAGUAUUAAAAUCAGUUACAGUGUUCAAAACACUUCGAAAGUUUAAACUCUUAGUUUCACUCUACAGCCUACCAGCCAUAUAAUUGAAAGUAUGCAGCAGUUAUGGUUAGGGUGGUUAGAAAUAGUUAUCAGAAUCAGCUGCCCAAAUAGCCAUUCCCUCAUGAAGGAAUUGUCUGCUGGGACUCUAGGAGUUUGCCCACAGCUCAUCAUUAUUCCUUCUUUCUGA